rnacentral:rRNA from 1 species
UACAGAGGGUGCGAGCGUUAAUCGGAAUUACUGGGCGUAAAGCGUGCGUAGACGGUUAUCUAGGUCGGAUGUGAAAGCCCCGGGCUCAACCUGGGAAUUGCAUUCGAGACUGAAUAGCUAGGGUGCGGUAGAGGGAAGCGGAAUUUCCGGUGUAGCGGUGAAAUGCGUAGAUAUCCGAAGGAACAUCAGUGGCGAAAGCGGCUUCCUGGACCAGAACUGACGAUCAGGCACGAAAGCGUGGGGAGCAAACAGG